UUGUGUAAGAUACUAAUCUCUGUUUUGUGAGGACAUUUUUUGUUUCAGUUGACGAUCGGAGUAUGACGUCAGAAGCGAUAUUUUUUUGGUUGAAUUUUUGGUCUGCCGAGUGGGGGCGUAACAAUUUAGCUGCAAAUGAUUCUCAAUUUUGGGAAAAGUCAUCCUUCUGAUUGCGAUCAAUAUUUAGUAUUUCCAGACAAGCCCAAUGUUGUUGAACCGCCUUUUGUGAACGGUAUCGCAUCAUGCUUGAAAUUGUCGCUAUUUAUUGAAGUGCAGUCAGUCCGAUUGGUUGGUUAUACGCUACAUUAAGUUCAACAACAGUGCUUUAAGUCAACAUGAGCGAUAUGUCCCAUCAAGAGUCCGUCAAACCCGGGGAUUCAGCAAGCCAGACUGGCAAGAGCAGCACAAGCAGUACCUCCAGAGCUAGAGUCAAAGCAAUGGUGAAGAGAGCGGCCUUGGCAGCCCAGGCAGCAGCUCUC